rnacentral:lncRNA from 1 species
GGAAUUGCAAUCUAAUGAUUUUUUAUGCAAAACGAUUUUUAACUAACAACAACUUGAUUAACAUAAAAUUUUAUUUGUAUUAUUUGAUAGGCGAACAACAACUAAUUUUCCAUUGCUAAUACAAUAUGAAAAGUAAUAUGCAAGAAUCAAUCUCACCCAUCAAUCAAGAGAAAUUAAAUGUCAAUACUAAAGUUUAGGGUAAUUCCCCCUAAUCUUAGGCUUUAGUUCCUCAUCUUUCCUUGUACAAUAUGUAAUCACUUGUAUAAAGCUAGAACAUGCAGUAAUACAAUAUAUCUUUCAACCAUUCAAACCUUUUGUCUCAAUAUGGUAUCAGAGCUUUUUUAAGCUCACACGAGUCAUUGAUCCUUGGCCUUGGCCUGUUUCCUUUCUUUUUUUAAUUUUCUUUUCCUUACAGCAUCAGGCUUCACCAUGGCCAAUGAAAACUCAGCUACUUCUAGCAUUAACCAAACUUUUACAAACAUGAAUCCCAACAAUCUCAUUGCUAUAAAUGCAGCCACCCAACUCCCUCUAAAAUUAACACCAACAAACUACUAUUCGUGGAAGACGCAAUUUGAUGCACUUCUCUAUGGAUAUGAUUUGCUCAGCUACAUUGAUGGCACCAAACCUUGCCCAUCUCCAGAGACAACAGUUGAUGAAAAGAUAGUUCCAAACCCAGAUUUCACCCUUUGGAUGUGACAAGACAAGCUUCUUCUUCUCGGCAUCAUCGGCUCACUUAGCCACAAAGCUGUACCUAUAAUUCGUUCAUGCAAAACAUCUGCUGAAGCCUGGAAUCGCCUUGCCAAACUUUAUGCCAAUCCUUCAUCCUCCAGAACUAUGGGAUUGGCUGAGCAACUUACUCUCAUUAACAGAGGCUCCCAACCUGUCGCUGACUAUCUUGCCACAAUUCGUGACAUUGCUGAUGAAUUAGCUUUAAUUGGAGCCCCAGUUCCAAAUCAAUAUCUUAUCACCCAUACUCUUAAUGGUGUGGGAACUGAAUUCAAAGAACUUGCAGCUGCAGUACGGGCACGAGAUACAGUGAUUAGUUUUGAUGAACUAUAUGAAAAACUUGUUGAAUAUGAGGCUUUCCUCAAACGCGAAAACCUUCGCUCCAGUGGAAAUCUUGGCAAUAUGACAGCUAAUGCUGCUCGUUUUCCCACAAAAAAUGGAAACCAAGCCAACAAAAAAAUUUUCCAUAAUAAUAAUGGAAAUCAAGGCCAACAUCCUCCUAAUUCGGGCAACAAUCAGGGACACAACUUUAACAAUUACAAUUCAGGCAACCAUCACUCAGGCAAAAAUUCCAAUGUGGUUUGUUAAUUUUGUGAGAAACAGGGUCAUACUGCUCGACAAUGUAAUUCUGCUAAAAAGUUGUUCUCCCACUCUUCAGCCCCUACCGCCAAUCCCACCACCACCAAUAAUUCCUCACCUAAUUGGCUUUUAGAUACAGGAGCAUCUCACCAUGUCACAUCUAAUCUCAACAAUUUAUCACUCAGUCAACCUUAUGAAGGUCCUGAUGACAUUGUUAUAGGUGAUGGUACAGGUUUGCAUAUUACUCAUGUUGGCCACUCCACUCUCUCCACUCCCUCAAACUCAUUCACUCUUUCUAAUGUGCUAUGUGUUCCUUCUAUGAAACAAAAUUUAGUCUCUGUCUCUCAAUUUUGUAAAAAUAAUAAUACUUCAAUUGAAUUUUUUCCAUCUUUCUUUUGUGUGAAGGAUCUGUCCACGGGAGCACAUCUCGCUCGAGGGCGGAGCAAGAAUAAUGUUUAUGAAUGGUCCAAUAUGGGAGUAUCUACAACAAUGAAGCAAGCUUGCAUGGGAGUCAAAGUCUCUCUUGAGAAUUGGCAUAAUCGACUUGGUCACCCAUCCACCAAAACACUUCGUCAUGUGGUCUCCCAAAAUGAUCUUCCUGUGUUUCCUAAUUCAUCUUCAUCAUUAUUUUGUGAUUCCUGUCAAUGCAAUAAAAGUCAUAAGUUACCAUUUGGUACUUCAACUUUACAAAGUCGUUUUCCAUUAGAUCUCAUCUAUACUGAUGUAUGGGGACCUUCUCCAAUUCGUUCAAUAGAUGGUUAUUCUUACUACAUCAUUUUUGUUGAUCAUUUUACAAAAUACUCAUGGUUAUUUCCAUUAUCCUACAAAUCUGAGGCCUUUACAAUAUUCCCCAAAUUCAAAACAAUGGUAGAAAAUUAUUUCAAUUCCACCAUUCGCACUAUUUAUUCUGAUGGAGGAAAAGAAUAUUAUGGCCUAAAAUCCUUAUUUGAAAAAUAUGGAAUCCAGCAUCUUAUAUCUCCACCAUACACUCCUCAACAUAUUGCUUCCGCUGAACGUCGUCAUAGACAUGUCGUAGAAACGGGUUUAACCCUUCUUCACAAGGCAUCCUUACCUUUGUCACUUUGGCCAUUUGCCUUUAAAACUGCAAUAUAUCUCAUUAAUAGACUUCCUACACCUAUUCUUAAGGAUAAAUCUCCAUUUGAGUCUCUUUUCCAUCAUAAGCCUAAUUAUUCUAAACUCCGAACUUUUGGGUGCUUGUGUUAUCCAUGGUUGCGUCCUUAUACAAAACAUAAGCUUGAACAACGUUCCAAAUCAUGUCUAUUCCUUGGUUACUCUAAUGUCCAUAAUUCUUACAUCUGUUUUGAUCCACAAGAUCACAAAUUUUAUUUUUCUCGUCACGUCCAAUUUGUUGAAAGUGUGUUUCCUUCCUUCUCUAUGUCAAAUGAAUAUGACAGAAUUAAUUCUUACACUUUACAAAAAUGGUCAGUCGCAUCUCCCUCCCUUAAAUCUCUCCAACAAGACCUUCCUUUUUCAGAUCAGUCUUCUUCAAACAUACCUCCUUUGUCACCGAAAAAUCUCUCUCCAUUAACUACUCUUUUACCCAUUACAUCUCCUUCCAAAUGCGAUACACCUAUUGACAAAAGAACACAAGGAUCUCCCACCAAAUCGUUGCCUUCAUCAACAUCCAGUCAUUUCUCCACCAAUAAUGGUAACUCCUCAAAUCAUGCACUUUCUCAUGGGCCAAGUCAGCCCACAUCAAAAUCCUCUCCUUCUCGGUCCGUUAUCCCUUUAAUGACCAAUUCUGAUGCCGAUUAUGAAUCCAUGCAAGAUUGUGAUCUUCAACAUGUGGUUGAUCCUCCCAUAUUGGAUACCAAUCAACCAACGUUUUCAGGCUCCUAUUCUAGUGAGAUGCACUCUAUCAAUGAACUUGUUCAUGUUCCAGUGCUAGCUCCUCCUACAACUAUACAAACCCGAUUAAAAAAUAACAUUUUCAAACCUAAAAAUUUUUUUUCCCUCACUGCUACUAAGCAUUUGAUCCCUCCAUCACUUGAACCCACUACCACCACUGAAGCCCUCAAACACAAAGAGUGGAGAGAUGCUAUGUGUGAAGAGCUUGAUGCCUUAAAAAAAAAUGGCACAUGGGAAUUGGUGCCUCCUGCAGCUCAUCAAAAUGUUAUCGGAUGCAAAUGGGUCUUUCGAAUAAAAAGAAAUCCUGAUGGUAGCAUUGCUCGGUAUAAAGCACGUCUUGUUGCCAAAGGUUUCCAUUAACGACCCGGUCUGGAUUACAAAGAGACGUUCAGUCCUGUUGUAAAACCAACCACAAUUCGAGUUGUUCUCUCUAUUGCCAUAUCCCAAUGAUGGAACGUGAAUCAAUUAGAUGUCAACAACGCAUUCCUUCAUGGGCAUAUUGCUGAAAAUGUUUAUAUGUCACAGCCCCCUGGCUUCAAAGAUCACUCUCAGCCACAUCAUGUUUGUCGCUUGCACCAGUCUCUUUAUGGCUUGAAGCAAGCAUAGAUACUGUGAUUAGUUUCGAUGAACUACUUGACAAACUUGUUGAAUAUGAGGCUUUCCUCAAACUUGAAGAGCUUCGCUCCAGUGGAAUCUUGUGAACUCUUGCUCUGACUCUUCAUUAUUUGUAUACUCUGAUAGUCUAUACUAAUCUAUUUUUUAGUUUAUGUGGAUGACUUGUUGAUUACAGGAAAUUCUUCAAGCUUUAUUCGUCAAGUUAUUGACUCUCUCUCCAAGCGAUUUUCCAUUAAGGAUCUUGGUCAUCUUCAUUAUUUCCUUGGUGUGGAGGUGAUUCCUACAACUCACGGGAUAUUCCUCUCUCAACAGAAAUAUAUUCGUGAUCUUUUAGCCAAAUUCAAAAUGGAGGGUAUCAAAGAUUGUGUGACUCCUCUUAGUUGUACUACACGCCUCAUGCUCAAUGAUGGCUCGCCAAAAGUUGAUGCUUCUCAAUACCGUAGUCUUAUUGGCGGCAUGCAAUACCUUUCGCUUACACGACCAGAUAUGGCCUAUGCAAUAAACAAAUUGGCGCAAUAUAUGCAUUCUCCCAGUCAAACGCAUUGGACAGCGGCAAAACGUUUACUUCGAUACUUGAAGCACACUCUCACGUAUGGUCUCUUUAUACGUCCCUCACAGCCAUUGUCUUUGACAGCCUUCUCGGAUGCUGAUUGGGCUGGAAAUCGUGAUGAUUGUACCUCUAUAUCAGCCUUUGUUAUUUUUCUUGGUGGCAACCCAGUGUCUUGGUGUUCUAAGAAGCAACGGACAGUAGCUCGCUCCUCAACAGAGGCUGAAUAUCACUCAGUUGCAUCAGCUGCUGCUGAAAUUACUUGGCUAACCAAUCUUCUUCAAGAGUUACACGUCUCUCUCCCCAAGCCACCUCGCCUUUUGUGUGAUAACAUUGGUGCUACAUACUUGUGCGUCAAUCCAGUUUUUCACUCAAGAAUGAAACAUUUUGCUCUGGAUUUUCAUUUCGUAUGGGAAAAAGUCUCUAAUGGUUCACUUCAAAUAGCUCAUGUCUCUACUUAUAAUCAGCUUGUAGAUGUGCUUACCAAACCACUUGCCAAGCCUCGUUUCACUCACCUUUGAUCCAAGAUUGGUGUUUCCGAUGGAAACGCCAUCUUGCGGGGGCAUAAUAGGCAAGAAUCAAUCUCACUCAUCAAUCAAGAGAAAUUAAAUGUCAAUACUAAAGUUUAGGGUAAUUCCCCCUAAUCUUAGGCUUUAGUUCCUCAUCUUUCCUUGUACAAUAUGUAAUCACUUGUAUAAAGCUAGAACAUGCAGUAAUACAAUAUAUCUUUCAACCAUUCAAACCUUUUGUCUCAACAAAAAGGAACAUGUUAGCUGCAAUCCAAUUGCUACCUUUUCAAGCCCAGCAGCAGUAGUAGCAGGUUGAAGUAGUCAAAAUCGUAAGCCAACCUGAGGAACUUCAUCUUGAAGUCAUUCCAUGGCGGAUACCUCGGC